AUUGAACGCUGGCGGCAGGCCUAACACAUGCAAGUCGAACGGUAACAGGAAGAAGCUUGCUUCUUUGCUGACGAGUGGCGGACGGGUGAGUAAUGUCUGGGAAACUGCCUGAUGGAGGGGGAUAACUACUGGAAACGGUAGCUAAUACCGCAUAACGCCGCAAGACCAAAAAGGGGGACCUUCGGGCCUCUUGCCAUCGGAUGUGCCCAGAUGGGAUUAGCUAGUAGGUGGGGUAACGGCUCACCUAGGCGACGAUCCCUAGCUGGUCUGAGAGGAUGACCAGCCACACUGGAACUGAGACACGGUCCAGACUCCUACGGGAGGCAGCAGUGGGGAAUAUUGCACAAUGGGCGCAAGCCUGAUGCAGCCAUGCCGCGUGUAUGAAGAAGGCCUUCGGGUUGUAAAGUACUUUCAGCGGGGAGGAAGGGAGUAAGGUUAAUACCUUUGCUCAUUGACGUUACCCGCAGAAGAAGCACCGGCUAACUCCGUG
rnacentral:rRNA from 1 species